rnacentral:ribozyme from 1 species
AAAUAAUCUUUCAAAAAAUAACAUAGAAAUAGCAAAAAGAAAAAAAAAGAAAAAAAAAAUAUGCAGCACAACAGCAAUCCCGCCAAAUUACGAAAAUAAUGAUGUUCUUGUUUGUUUUGUUUGUCAUCAGGGGCAACUUUUCUUUCCCC